rnacentral:lncRNA from 1 species
GAAGUGAAAAAGGAAAACAAACAACCAUGCAACCCUUCCCCAAAAGAGAAAAAGAGAAAGCAAAACUCUUCUUCUUCUUCGCGAGCUGAAGCCACUCGUCAUCGACUGUGCAUCUAAACCCAGCCAGUAGAACCUGCCCAGAUAAUUGGGGGGUCCCCAUCCUUCCAACCUCUCCCCUUUGUCUUCAUUAUUCCUCUGCAAAUUCAACCAAACUAUUGCCCUUCCUCUGCAAAUUCGACCAAGACAGUGCACGGGCUAAAACCAAUUUUUAUAGGUGCCAUGAAUUCCGACGAGAGCGGAGGGGUUGAACCAGCGCUCCUAAACGUAUUUUCCGACUAGGGAAGGGGCGGUCGCCACUCCUCACCCUCACAUAGCUUCGCCAUUGACCCUAACUAUGUUAAACAUUUAGUCCACUAAACUUUCAAGAUGUGCUUAAAAAAUCCUGCAUAAUAUAAAUGUUUUGUUGUCAAAUUAUUGUUCGAUCAACUUCUUAAUUGAAU